rnacentral:lncRNA from 1 species
GUCUUUAUUAAAAUGAAAAUGAAAAUUAUCCUAUGCUAGCACCGAAAUGAAAAUCAUAUUCCUACUGGCUAUAGGUACAAAAUAAUAAUUUUUCAAAAACAACUAAAUUCUAACAGUAGCUUCAAAUAGUAGGUUCCGAUGGCCACAGCAGCAACUUUUGCCCCAUUGCCACUCAGAGAGUGAUCUCAUCUUCUCUUAGUCCUCUAACAUCCUCUAGACCUGCAUAGAAGUGCACAAAUGAACACUCAAACUAGAAUCUAAAAUCCAUCUAGAAGAAGAGAAAACCAUUAAAUUAGUUUUA